GGGUAUGGAUCAACUGAUAGGGAUUUUUUCAGUAGUACACGUCACAAAUUGGAGUUGAGAGAUGUUUUCAUCAAGUGAACCAUGUAGCUGAAGCCGAAGCCCCAGAACAAAAUGGUCUCAUGUUCAAUAUCUUUAAGAAAAACAUGACUUGAAGCAUCAGGAAACAAAGAAUCCUAGUCCGUCGAACAGAAGGAUUGGGUGCUCUUAUUUUAAUGCGACUUUAAUUUACUGAUGAAGGGAGCAACCUUACUUAUGAUUCCCACCCUUCUAAAUCUCGAAAGCUGUAGGAGUACGAAUUAGAAGAUGAUCUUAAUCCUUUAUUUGAAACUGUUCAAUUCCUGUUUGAAAGUGCUCAGUCCAAGUUUGAAUCCAGAAAUUAAGUACUCCCCUAUCCUAAAUUGUAGGUAGUUUUGCAUUUAUGUUAUAACUUUUGCUAUGAACAUAAAUAUAUACUAUGUCCAGAUAUACAUAGUUAAAUCUAUAAAUCUAGAAAUGUCAAAAUGAUCUACAAUUUGGGAUGGAGGGAGUAGACAAUAAAGAGAUGUAGGAGGUAAAAAGUUUUUCUUGAAAUAAAAGAUAGUAACAAAUGUAUUAAAUAUGUUUAGCCGCCUGGAGACAACCACAGAGGUAGGGUCCUUGUGACAAAUAGUUUCUUCGUAAAAUAAAUUUGGCCUAUUUAUUAUUGGGUCGAGCCUAAAUUUAUUCCAACAUGCCAAUGUUGUUCCGAUAGCCCAAAAAUGAUUUCGAUAGGCCCAUUUGUAGUUGAGUCGAGCCCAACAGUUGUGCAUAUUGUUUCCGGCCCUUUUUCUCCUAAUUUAUUAAUGAAAUACAAUUUUGACCCAAUUAUAUGUGGGGCUAAGCGCACUUAAAGCAUACAUAAAUUUAACUAAUUGGCAUGAGGAAUAAUUGAUUUCAAUUCAUUUCUGAUCCGGUUGGAAAAAUAAUAAACACAACAUACAUAUUAAUGUAUAUAAGAAAAUAA
rnacentral:lncRNA from 1 species